rnacentral:rRNA from 1 species
AUACGUAGGUGACAAGCGUUAUCCGGAUUUACUGGGCGUAAAGGGCGUGUAGGCGGUCUUGCAAGUCAGAAGUGAAAUUCCUGAGCUCAACUCGGGCGCUGCUUCUGAAACUGCAGGACUUGAGUGCCGGAGGGGAUAGCGGAAUUCCCGGGGUAGCGGUGAAAUGCGUAGAGAUCGGGAGGAACACCAGUGGCGAAGGCGGGUAACUGGACUGCAACUGACGCUGAGGCGCGAAAGUGUGGGGAGCAAACAGGAUUAGAUACCCUGGUAGUCCACACUGUAAACGAUGAAUGCUAGGUGUAAGAGGUAUCGACCCCUUUUGUGCCGGAGUCAACACAAUAAGCAUUCCGCCUGGGGAGUACGGCCGCAAGGUUGAAACUCAAAUGAAUUGACGGGG